rnacentral:rRNA from 1 species
AAACUUUCAACAACGGAUCUCUUGGCUCUGGCAUCGAUGAAGAACGCAGCGAAAUGCGAUAAGUAAUGUGAAUUGCAGAAUUUAGUGAAUCAUCGAAUCUUUGAACGCACCUUGCGCCCCUUGGUAUUCCGAGGGGCAUGCCUGUUCGAGCGUC